UGAAGUUACAGAGCUUCCAAUUGAGCACUUUCACCUAAACUGUGGUCUUGAUUUGGCUGCCAGUUUAAGAAACAUUGAAGCAAAGGACUGGGGCUAAACUGAAUUACCCAGCUUUCUUGAUAACAUAAUGUUCUAUUUUUAGAUAUGACUAAUUUACAAUGCUAUGUAAACACCUCAUACGAUUCUGACGAAGAACAACAAAACAGUGCUUGACACUAAAUUAGAUUUCUGCUCAAAUACCAUGUAUUUACGUAUAUUUUUACUGUAAAUACUAUAUUGUAUAUGACUUUAUAAAUUUAUAUUUUUAACUGUUGUAAAUGUAAAUAUUAAUUGAAUAAUAAAGCGUAUUUAUCCCAAAAGUUUUUUUUUAUCAAAAUCCCUGGGAAAACCCGUCAGCAAAAUAUGCUCAGGGAAAAUCCUUCAUCGGACAGAC